UUGUUGGUAAGGUAAAAGCCUACCAAGGCUUCGAUCAGUAGCUGGUCUGAGAGGACGGCCAGCCACACUGGGACCGAGACACGGCCCAGACUCCUACGGGAGGCAGCAGUGGGGAAUUUUGGACAAUGGGGGCAACCCUGAUCCAGCCAUGCCGCGUGAGUGAAGAAGGCCUUCGGGUUGUAAAGCUCUUUCAGCCGGAACGAAACGGUUACGGUUAAUACCCGUGACUACUGACGGUACCGGAAGAAGAAGCACCGGCUAACUACGUGCCAGCAGCCGCGGUAAUACGUAGGGUGCAAGCGUUAAUCGGAAUUACUGGGCGUAAAGCGUGCGCAGGUGGUUUUGUAAGUCAGAUGUGAAAUCCCCGGGCUUAACCUGGGAACUGCGUUUGAAACUACAAGGCUAGAGUGUGGCAGAGGGGGGUGGAAUUCCGCGUGUAGCAGUGAAAUGCGUAGAUAUGUGGAGGAACACCGAUGGCGAAGGCAGCCCCCUGGGUCAACACUGACGCUCAGGCACGAAAGCAUGGGGAGCAAACAGGAUUAGAUACCCUGGUAGUCCAUGCCCUAAACGAUGUCAACUAGUUGUCGGGCCUUAACGGGCUUGGUAACGUAGCUAACGCGUGAAGUUGACCGCCUGGGGAGUACGAUCGCAAGAUUAAAACUCAAAGGAAUUGACGGGGACCCGCACAAGCGGUGGAUUAUGUGGAUUAAUUCGAUGCAACGCGAAAAACCUUACCUACCCUUGACAUGUAUCGAAGCCCGCAGAGAAGCGGGUGUGCCCGAAAGGGAACGAUAACACAGGUGCUGCAUGGCUGUCGUCAGCUCGUGUCGUGAGAUGUUGGGUUAAGUCCCGCAACGAGCGCAACCCUUGUCAUUAAUUGCCAUCAUUUAGUUGGGCACUUUAAUGAGACUGCCGG
rnacentral:rRNA from 1 species